UACGGAGGGAGCUAGCGUUAUUCGGAAUUACUGGGCGUAAAGCGCACGUAGGCGGCUUUGUAAGUAAGAGGUGAAAGCCCAGAGCUCAACUCUGGAAUUGCCUUUUAGACUGCAUCGCUUGAAUCAUGGAGAGGUCAGUGGAAUUCCGAGUGUAGAGGUGAAAUUCGUAGAUAUUCGGAAGAAACACCAGUGGCGAAGGCGGCUGACUGGACAUGUAUUGACGCUGAGGUGCGAAAGCGUGGGGAGCAAACAGG
rnacentral:rRNA from 1 species